AGAGAGGUGCAGGCAACUCUCUGGGGGUCCAAGACAUGGUCCCUCGAGGGCCUCCCGGUGGGUAUUGAGCCAAGGAGCAGCCAGUGGUGAUCACAGACUCCAACCAAGGGCUGGGCCCCUCCAGAGUGAGCAGAGCCCUGCUCAGCCAGCUCCUGCAAAUAUCAAUCCUGCAGGAAGGGUUGUGGGGAGAAGACACUGUUCCAACCAACUGACCUGCUGGAUUGGAGGAUCUAGAAACCUACACGUGACUCUGGCCAAGAUAAAAUGCUUCAAGAUUCCUGGACUGGGAAUCUCACCAUCGGUUCCCCUGGUUCUCAGACCCUUGGGCAUGAGCUGAAUUGCACCAUGGCUUUCUGUUUGUCUGGGGAACGCUGACUAAUACAAGGCAUCUCAACUUGGGCAUUACUGAGGCUGUAGGGUCACGGUAAGCCCUGAAAUUGCACAUGUCUGUGCACUGUUAUGGGGAGAAGAUCCACAAGGUCACUUAAUCCUCCAAAAGGUGAAGAGCUGUUGCCUUCAGGAGCCCCAGGGAGAAAAACCAGGCUUGAGGGUUUUAGGUAAA
ensembl:lncRNA LINC01868 long intergenic non-protein coding RNA 1868